rnacentral:misc_RNA from 1 species
AACCAUUCUCACCUGCGGCUAGACCUGCGGAAGGAUCAUUACCGAGUUUACAACUCCCAAACCCCUGUGAACAUACCUAUACGUUGCCUCGGCGGAUCAGCCCGCGCCCCGUAAAACGGGACGGCCCGCCCGAGGACCCCUAAACUCUGUUUUUAGUGGAACUUCUGAGUAAAACAAACAAAUAAAUCAAAACUUUCAACAACGGAUCU